rnacentral:other from 1 species
UUACCCCUGCCUUGUUCGUGAUGGGCAUAAAACUUAGAACCAACAUCUAAUUUAAGGGAGCUGUCCCUUACUGUAGGAGGGCAGGCCCUGUUUAUUCGGGGAAGUCUCAAGCAGUAAUAUGGCGCCCACCUGGUACGCCAGGUUCAAGCAUAAAACCCACACGGCAAAGUGGGGGGUAA